rnacentral:lncRNA from 1 species
GGAGGGCGGCGCUUGCGGGGACCGGGCUGCUCCGGGCCCUGGGGACCCCUGCGCUUCGCUCACUCCUCCCCCGCCGGGGCUCCGCGGGCCAGCGCUGCGGCCGCCAGGGUGCGCCCCCCCGCCCCGCCCCGCCCCGCCGCCGUCCCCGGCCCGCUCCGCCCGAGCCCCCCCUCGCCGCGCUGCGCGCUCCGCCCGAGCCGCCGCCGCCGCCGCCGCGUGCUCCCGCUGUCUCCUCGCUCCAGCCGAGCGAGCCGGAGGAGCCGGGGAGAGGGAGAGAGCGAAAGGGGGAGGAGAGAGGGAGAAGGAGGGCGGGAGGGAGGGGAGCAGAGGGAGAGGAGGCGGCGGCGAGCAGGAGCGAGCGCGGAGCGCCGAGCCGCGGGGCAGCUCCGGAGCCGGGAGCCUCCUCGGACAGCCGCCCGCCCCGGCCCGGCCCGGCCCCGCUCCAGCGCCCGCCCGCUCGGAGGACACGCGGCCGCCGCCGCCGAGCCCGGCCCGCGCCCCUCGCCGCCCGCUCCGCUGCCCGCUCGGGGCCGGGAUGCAGCCGGGGCAUGGCCGCCGGGCCCCCGUCACCUGCCGCGGGGAGCGCUGAGCCCCCCUGGGGCCUUGAGAGUCGCCAUAGCUACUUACUUGCUUGGCCUUUUGCCGCUUACCUUUACUAUUCUGUGAAGAAGGAGGUGGGACCAGCCCCUCCCCGGGGCAGCUGGAGGCCAGUCUGCACUGGGCUCCAUUGUGGGAUUUCUGGGGAUGUGCCAGUGGGAGCCUUUCCAUGGAGGCGGGCUGGGGGGACCACUCCCCAGCCAACCCGCCUUGGACCCUGCCCUGGAGCCGGUCUUGGGGGACUGGCCAGAGAGGAUGCCCUGAAUGGUCUUGGGGUCCUACCUGCCUGUUGGCAUGCAUGCAGGUUGAGAAUCUCAGGUCCCUGA